AGAAAGACAAGGACAGAGAGUGUGAGAGACUAUCUGAAACCAGAGCAGGGACAAAUUCUGCUUUGUGAGUCUCAGGGGAAGUACAGCACAACCCAGGAAAAGGAGGGUACAAAGUCAACAUUAAUCAAAUACAACCAAACUGAAGCCAAAUGAACGCCAUCUUGCCCAGCAGCUGAAGAAUGGGGGAA